rnacentral:rRNA from 1 species
UACAGAGGUCCCAAGCGUUGUUCGGAUUCACUGGGCGUAAAGGGUGCGUAGGCGGUUUGAUAAGUCUGAUGUGAAAUCCCGCAGCUUAACUGCGGAACUGCAUUGGAAACUAUUUGACUAGAGGAAUGGAGGGGAGACUGGAAUACUUGGUGUAGCAGUGAAAUGCGUAGAUAUCAAGUGGAACACCAGUGGCGAAGGCGAGUCUCUGGACAUUUCCUGACGCUGAGGCACGAAAGCCAGGGGAGCAAACAGG